rnacentral:sRNA from 1 species
AAUUUUAUUAUUAUUGGUAUUUUUUUUUCCAUAUUCGGGCCGUUUUUUGUUUUAAACGUUUUAUUAAUUUUUUUUUCGGUUAUUAUUUUCCGUAAUUUUUUUAUUAUUUUAUUAACAAUUUUUGCGCGUUAUAAUUGGUUUUUUAAAAGCGCAAAUUUUUCCGUAAUUCGUGGUAUAGCCCCGAAUAUUAACAAAAUCGGUAUAAAACCGUUUGGACCUGCGGUAUCGUUUACCGUUUUUACCGCCGUUUAUAAUUCCGCCUGCGGUAUUAUAUUUUUGUAUUUAAUUUUUAUAAUUUCGUAUAUUUUCCGUAACGGUUUAUAAUAACGUUUAAUUUUGCCCAAUAAUUAAUACGUUUCGAUUGGUAUUUGGUUAUAUAUUAUACCGAAAAAACGUAUUUUUGUUUUAAAAUUUAAAAUAGCAAAAUUGGUAUUUAAAUCGUAAAUAACGAUAUUUGGCGGUCCCAAAUACGUAUUUAUCCAAUAUUUUUUAAUAUUUUCCAUAUUUUUUUAACCGAUAUAUUAUUUAUAAAACGUGUUGUUUGGAAUGCAAUAUUCGCGUCGACUAUAUAUAAAACCGGUUUGGAAUUUAAAUAUAUAAUAUCGAUAAUAAUUUCGUAAUUAAAAUUUAUAUCGUUUUUUAAAAUAAAUUUAAAACGUUAUAGGGCGUUUUUUUUAAUUUGGUAAUAAUGGUAAAAACGGUUUAUUAAUUUCAAUAUAUUCCGGUUUAUUUUAUAAUUUGUUUUUUAUAAUAUUUUUUAUAAACGUUUUACUAAUAAAUGGCCGAAUUUUCGAUAUACCGUUCGUAAUUUUUUUUUUAUUAGGAAAAUUAUUAUUAUAUUUGCAUUUUUUGUAAAAUAUAUCGCCGGUUUUGUCGGCGUUAUUCCAGGUAAAUAAAAUUAUAAAUAUCCCCAUUUGCGUAAAAUCGGUAUUUUAAUACCAUCGGUUUUUACAAAUUUGUUGCUGGUAUUAUUUAAAUAUAUACCGAAUUUAUUUAUAUUUUAAAUAUAUAGCAAAAAUAAUAUAUUUAUCGGUAUUACGUGGAACGUAAUUUCGCCGACCUGGAUAUUUAACGUUAUUUUUCCCAUUACCGUAAUAUUUUUUCCUGUUCCAAAACGCACCGUGGCUUUAUUUGGGUUCGUUUUAUUAAUAUAAAUAUUCGGUUUUCGACGUUGCAAUAUUUUAAUUUACCCUAUUUCGGCCGUGGAAAUUAUAAUUGCCUUUAUAUUAAAAAUAAUCCCAUACCAAAUUUCGUUUAUAUUCCGUUAAUAUAAAAUUUGGUAUAAAUUUUUUUUUUUUUAUUCGUUUGUAAUUUGGAAUUUUUUUUAUAUUUA